rnacentral:rRNA from 1 species
UACGAAGGGUGCAAACGUUGCUCGGAAUUAUUGGGCGUAAAGCGCACGUAGGCGGCUCUGUAAGUCGGAUGUGAAAUCCCUCGGCUUAACCAAGGAAGUGCAUCCGAAACUGCAAGGCUUGAGUACUUAAGAGGAUCGCGGAAUUCCCGGUGUAGAGGUGAAAUUCGUAGAUAUCGGGAGGAACACCGGUGGCGAAGGCGGCGACCUGGGUAGAUACUGACGCUGAGGUGCGAAAGCGUGGGGAGCAAACAGG